rnacentral:rRNA from 1 species
UACAGAGGUCUCAAGCGUUGUUCGGAUUCAUUGGGCGUAAAGGGUGUGUAGGUGGCGCGCUAAGUCGGGUGUGAAAUUUCGGAGCUUAACUCCGAAACUGCAUUCGAUACUGGCGUGCUUGAGGACUGGAGAGGAGACUGGAAUUUACGGUGUAGCAGUGAAAUGCGUAGAUAUCGUAAGGAAGACCAGUGGCGAAGGCGGGUCUCUGGGCAUUAACUGACGCUGAGGAGCGAAAGCAUGGGGAGCGAACAGG